AUCGGACCGACUUGGAAACAACUCGAGACGAAGAAGAGAGAGAAAGAUAGGUUAGAGAACGAAAGGUGAAAGCACUAGAGGGAAGCUAGCAAAAAGAACUCUAGACCACCAAGGCAGGAAGAGAAACCGGCCAAGGAGCUAAACAGAAUCUCGGUUUAGACACUUUCGAACUCGAACUAAGA
ncrna:unclassified sequences IMES-1 RNA motif